AUGUCUGAAUGGAUCUUCAAAGUGCCCGCCAGGCACCACGAACGGCUUGGGCCGCCUCCCUGCCAAGCGUACGAUAUCCGGCCGUUUUGUGACCCAUCGUGGCCGACCUGUGAAAGAUCAAUCGUGCACGCGGGAAGUGACAACUGUUGUGAAAAACACAGCAGCCGGGACGUAAAAGAGCGAGAGAAGAUGGCGGAGGAAGCGAAGCAGGAUGUGGCGCCACCCGCGCCGGAGCCGACCGAGGACGUCGCGGACGAGAAGGCGGCGGUUCCGUCGCCGGAGGAGUCUAAGGCCCUCGUUGUCGCCGAGAAUGACGCUGAGAAGCCUGCAGCUACAGGGGGCUCACACGAACGAGAUGCUCUGCUCACGAGGGUCGCGACCGAGAAGAGGAUUUCGCUGAUCAAGGCAUGGGAGGAGAACGAGAAGGCCAAAGCCGAGAACAAGGCCGUGAAGUUGCUGGCGGACAUCACCUCGUGGGAGAACUCCAAGGCCGCGGAACUGGAAGCCGAGCUCAAGAAGAUGCAAGAGCAGCUGGAGAAGAAGAAGGCGCGCUGCGUGGAGAAGCUCAAGAACAGCGCCGCGACGGUGCACAAAGAGGCGGAGGAGAAGCGUGCCGCGGCGGAAGCGCGGCACGGCGAGGAGAUCGUCGCGGCGGAGGAGACCGCCGCCAAGUACCGCGCCAAGGGUGAGGCGCCGAAGAAGCUGCUCUUCGGCAGAGGAUAGAUAUCGCUUCAUCUUCAGCUUCUCUCUGUUUGACCGUUGCAAUGUCUCCUGCCCAUGGCAUCACUUGUGUAUUUAUCUUUGGGUGUGAUCUUAGUUUGUAUGGUAUCAUCAAUUGCGUCGUGAUGUAAUUUGUGAUUAUUUCGUGGGAUACUUGGGUGUACUGUAUAAAGAUGGAGUAGUCUUUUCGUGCACACAACACUAUAACAAUAUCUGAUACUGUUAAAGCAAAUAACCCGC
rnacentral:rRNA from 1 species